rnacentral:rRNA from 1 species
UACGAGUGCCUCAAGCGUUAUCCGGAAUCAUUGGGCGUAAAGGAUGUGUAGGUGGCCGCAUUAGUCUUUUGUUAAAUUUCCCGGCUUAACUGGGAACCUGCAGAAGAAACUGUGCGGCUAGAGGAUGCAAGGGGUCUGUGGAACUCAUAGUGUAGCGGUGAAAUGCGUUGAUAUUAUGGGGAACACCAAAAGCGAAGGCAACAGACUGGGGCACUCCUGACACUGAAACAUGAAAGCGUGGGUAGCGAAUGGG